rnacentral:ncRNA from 2 species
UUCUUAUGAAGAACUACUGAGAGAAAACAACUCAAUGAAGUGGUAGCAACCUAUUUAAAUUAGGUGCUUAAAUUAAGGGGAAACCAACUAUGAGAU